UGGGGAAUCUUGCGCAAUGCGCGAAAGCGUGACGCAGCAACGCCGCGUGCGGGAAGACGGCCUUCGGGUUGUAAACCGCUUUCAGUUGGGACGAAGGUUCACGGGUUAAUAGCCCGUUGGACUGACGGUACCUUCACAAGAAGCCCCGGCUAACUACGUGCCAGCAGCCGCGGUAAUACGUAGGGGGCAAGCGUUGUCCGGAAUCAUUGGGCGUAAAGCGCGUGUAGGCGGCUCGAUAAGUUCGCUCUGAAAGUCCAAGGCUCAACCUUGGGAUGCGGGUGAAUACUGUCGGGCUCGAGUCCGGAAGAGGCGAGUGGAAUUCCUGGUGUAGCGGUGAAAUGCGCAGAUAUCAGGAGGAACACCAAUGGCGAAGGCAGCUCGCUGGGACGUGACUGACGCUGAGACGCGAAAGCGUGGGGAGCAAACAG
rnacentral:rRNA from 1 species